AAUUGAGUGUCAGAGAUUCUGGGAGAUCACGCAGAAGCAACUGAGAUUGCAGAGUCUAACCAGUCUCAAGAUUCCAGGCAGAAACAAAACACAGACUGCAGGCUGCUAUCAGACUCCUGUUAAGGGAAGGGAUCUUCUCCAGGACAUAUAUGGAGGUACUCUUUCAACUGCUCCAGUCCCUAAAGACAUGAAGUACAGCAAUCAAGAUACUCACCAAAACAGGACUGAAGUUCAAAGGACAACCAGCAACAGCUGAAGACAACGAGCCACUGCCACAAAAGAUCUGCAGCACCCAAGUAAACAACCCUGAGUACAUCAUGAGAAAAAAGAAAGAAGCUAUGAAAGCCAUCAAAUGUGAAGCCUAUUUUUGGAAUCAGUAUCAUCUUAGACAAGGAAAUUAGCUACUAAAUGUAAUUACUGGCUAAUGAAGGAAGUCAUAAACAGCUGAAACCACAAACAACUCUAUGAUGCAGAAAAUCAAUAUACUCAGAAAAACAAAGACAAGAAAAUAUCAAUGACUAGUUCAUGCAG